UGCAGAGGGUGCGAGCGUUGUCCGGAAUCACUGGGCGUAAAGGGCGCGUAGGCGGCCUGAUAAGUCGGGGGUGAAAUCCUGUGGCUUAACCACAGGGCUGCCUCCGAGACUGUCGGGCUCGAGCACAGUAGAGGCAGGUGGAAUUCCCGGUGUAGCGGUGGAAUGCGUAGAGAUCGGGAAGAACAUCGGUGGCGAAGGCGGCAUCCUGGACCGAGAUUGACGCUGAGGCGCGAAAGCCAGGGGAGCAAACGGG
rnacentral:rRNA from 1 species